GUGGGGAAUCUUCCGCAAUGGACGAAAGUCUGACGGAGCGACGCCGCGUGAGUGAAGAAGGCCUUCGGGUCGUAAAGCUCUGUCAUCGGGGACGAAUGGUCGAUGGAGUGGAAAGCCAUUGAAAUGACGGUACCCGAGAAGGAAGCCACGGCUAACUACGUGCCAGCAGCCGCGGUAAUACGUAGGUGGCAAGCGUUGUCCGGAAUUAUUGGGCGUAAAGCGCGCGCAGGUGGGAUCUUAAGUCUAUUUUGAAAGUUCGGAGCUUAACUCCGUGAUGGGAUAGAAACUGGGAGUCUUGAGUACCGGAGAGGAAAGCGGAAUUCCCCGUGUAGCGGUGAAAUGCGUAGAUAUGGGGAGGAACACCAGUGGCGAAGGCGGCUUUCUGGACUGUAACUGACACUGAGGCACGAAAGCGUGGGGAGCAAACAGGAUUAGAAACCCUAGUAGUCC
rnacentral:rRNA from 1 species